AUUGAACGCUGGCGGCAGGCCUAACACAUGCAAGUCGAGCGAGCGGCGGACGGGUGAGUAAUGUCUGGGAAACUGCCUGAUGGAGGGGGCUAACUACUGGAAACGGUAGCUAAUACCGCAUACCCUCAGAUGUGCCCAGAUGGGUUUAGCUAGUAGGUGGGGUAACGGCACCCCUAGGCGACGAUCCCUAGCUGGUCUGAGAGGAUGACCAGCCACACUGGAACGGAGACACGGUCCUGACUCCUAGGGGAGGCAGCAGUGGGGAAUAUUGCACAAUGGGGGCAACCCUGACGCAGCCAUGCCGCGUGAAUGAAGAAGGCCUUCGGGUUGUAAAGUUCUUUCGGUGACGAGGCGUUAAUCACAGAAGAAGCACCGGCUAACUCCGUGCCAGCAGCCGCGGUAAUUC
rnacentral:rRNA from 1 species